rfam:Takifugu rubripes chromosome, Chr_16
CCUUCGGUAGCUCAGCGGUAGAGCGGAGGACUGUAGGGGACCAUCACAGGAAUCCUUAGGUCGCUGGUUCAAAUCCGGCUCGAAGGA